UCCAAGUUUUCUAUUUCCUCCCCAAAUUGAACCUGGCGGCAAGAGGAUGACUGUUGUCACAGGAAACUGUGCGUGACAUUGAAGUGUGAUUGUGUUGCUGAAUGGAAUGGGAAUGUGACUCUGAGCUCACCGUGUGCUCUGCUCAUUGGUGAAUGGAGUUAUGUUAAUGUCAUCCAAAAUGGAAGUGGUCUUCAAAGGCAGGAAAUGAGGAAAACUUAUAAUGGAAGAUGUCUUUGAAUGAAUUUAGCAUCGGUAGCCUGAUGGCAUAACACCAAGCAGAUGAGGUCCAUGAAAUGAAGAAACAGAGAAAAUGAAGGAACAGUUUUGACUGAAAGAACAACACAUUUAGUGUUGUUCCAGCUGAUGAUAAUGAAGAUCAUUCUUGUGCCUGCAGCUAGUUUUACUUGACAGAUGGACGAAUGGAGUUUCAACAAAUUAUUCAUUCAAAUUAUUGAUUCUUAUGAAGUUGGGGAAGAUCCCUCUUUGAAUUUUAGGCAUUGUCAGUGUUUGUUUGGGAGAAGCAAUCCAUAGCCCGAUGGAAAUAAAAGAAUGCACCGCUUGAGGGAUUUGUGUGUAGAUUGGCUCUCUCACCCCUACUCCUUCUCUUUAGAGAAACAAGUUAGUUUUCACUCAUUAGACACACUGGUGUGACAUUUGGAAGGUGUUAGUGAAACAG